GCUUGGUAUGAGGUUUACAUGUUGUAAUGGACAGAUCCAUUACACUUUAGCAGAAUACUACUCGGCAAUUACACAUGAAAAAGGAAAAAAACGCUUGUGAAUGUGCCUCAGCAGACACUCAUAUGCUGUGGUUCUCGUAGCCAAAUUAUUCUACUAUUCUACUAAAUUCUACUGACGCAUGAAGUCAGUAGUAAACAACUGACGCACCGCUAACAUGUCCAAUGCCCAGCGGUGUUCCUGACUGUGCAGCGCAGCAAAAUUGGCCUGAGAGGUUUCAGAACAUUUCCCCCAUACAAACAGGGGCAAAUCAAUAACGUCUCGGUUGGGGGAGCCACUCUCCAUAUGAAGGGUGGUCAGGCAGGAGGAUGGGUGAGGAGAGGGUGGACAUCGCAGGGUGCUCUAACGUCCUUCAGGCACGGUAGGGAAUCAGCAGCAGCUGUUGGCAGUGGAGAGGAAAAGACUGUACUAUCUCUCAUUAGACGUCCUGAAGGGCUGAAUCAUCUCUCAACAUCACCUACAAGUACCAUCGACUUUCGGUCAUCUCUUUGUUUCCUGUUUCUUUGUUUCUUCAAGCUUGAAUUCACAUAUUGUAGUUCAUUCAGGAAUUGCUUUCUUGACUAAAAUAUAAAAAUAUGCAAAGUCUGUAUCCCCACCUAUCUUACAUACAAGGAUCGUACUGGUGAUUAAGCAUGUUUUAUCCCACACUGAUUUUCUAUUUUCCAGGGAGCCAUUGGUUUAUAUUUAGAUAGAAAUUGGUUUUUUUUUGGCAAAGCUACUCUAUUGUUGUGUGAUAAUGCAGUUUACAGCAAGGAUAACCCAAAGGAGUAACAAGCACAGGACAUUGUAUGAAAUACAAAAAAUACAAUGUUACAUUAAAAAACACACACCAGACAAACCAUCUAUGGCCCCGGCCUUUGAUUAACAUAAACAGUCGACCACUACCAUACUGUUGCUGGUGGAGGAAGCAGUGCAGUGCAUGGAGCUAACUGGGUUAAUAAAUGUAAUUGUCUCCCAUGUACGUAAGUGAGAUGAGUGGCAGCUAGCAUAGGAUAAAAGAGUAAAGCAGUGUAUGAAUGGAUAGGAGUCCUAAGGCAUAGCUGAGAGAGAGUAAUAAAUGAAGGAGUAGGGCAGAGAAAGUAAAGUUGUAACUUACGAAAACUAAAGGCGAUGAAAUGUUCACUGUGAUGGAUUACUUAUUUCAAGCAAAGUUUAAGGCUCUGCGAAUUGAUUCUCAAAUCUGAAAUGAAAGGAAACCAAUGGCUCCCCAGAUGGAGGGUAAUAAAUCCAAAACUAUGCUUUGUUUUGUAAAAGUAUACAUGAAGGUUCAAGGGCUAUGCUGCAGCAUAAGGAAUCCAGUGCACCUCUGCAGCUGAAGGCGAGUGGGUGUUUUCCUCUCCCACAGUUGUAGGAGAUGGUUGUGCGGCACUCUGUGCUACACAGAAACAGUAAAUAAAACUUCUGCUAUCAGGCUCCCAUAUCAUCACUGUGAAAAUGGCAGCAGUUGCCAUUUUGUCAUCUAAUACAGCAUGAGGAACAGAAAAUAUUAAGCAAUGCUCUUUGUGACAAGCUGAAUGUGGUAACGCAUCCCUGUCCAUCAUUUGAAUGAAAUGUUAAAUGACAUGUGCAUUGCAAUAUGUCAGAAAGUAAUAGCCUACUGUCACAUCUCUGUCGCAUUCUGGUGUGGGUUAAAGCAGGACUAACGUGGUGCAGUGCGAGAAAAAAGGAGAAAAAACACCACACAAAUGUGAUGGUGUGAAAAUACUUUGUGUAUAUUAUACAUGAGAUAAAAACAACAAAAAAAAAACACAUAGCCACAGUUCUAAAAAAAGCAUGAGCCCGGCAUUGCUGGCUUUUCACUCCAUUCUGGGGUGAUAAAAUCAUGCAGCCCGGUUACAGCAAGUUGUUGACAGUGUGAGAAUACUUGGUGCACAUAGCCUUUAUAGCAGCUGUCUGCUCUGGUGAGGGGCUAGAUGAGCCAGCCGAGGUGAAUAUAUUAGUCAGUGAAUGUCACAAACGCCAUUUCCAACUGCUGAAUGUCACAGAGACUGUUGGGGUAACUGCUAGCGCUGUGGAGCGCCAUGAUGUCUAUAUUCCCGCUGUUAACAUCCUGUAUCCCUGCUUUUUAAAUAUCAAACAAAAUCACACUUGCUAUGAGCCAAGUAAAUAUCAAUAAGCCAAAAAGACUGUAGGCGAUUGGUUGGUGUGUUCUUGCUGAUUACAGCUGGAACUUAUGGCACCACUGCUCGAUUGCAAAUAGUGCCUUUUCAACUGAAUGAGAGGCUUUGAUAUAGAUUGUUUUCCUUCCAAACCAAGCACAAAUAAUAUUAGUGUGGGAAUCUAAAGCUUUAUUACUGUUAAAAAAACCUUACAGGAAUAGCUUCAGCUACAGUCUGGAAUAUUAUUUGGUGGCGGAGAGGCAGCCAUUUUUAACGAUCCCUUUGGCUGCUAAAGCCUCGCAGGCUCAGGAAUGUGUAAAAAAAAGAGAACACCAAAAAGAUAAGAAACUGAAACACAUCCUUCUAACACACUCCCCAUCGUCAGUGAAGCUCAUUGUUUGCAGCGCAGUGAUGAGGGCAUGCUGCUCAGUGCUGGGAGCCGAUGCCGAUUAUUUCCCACAUCUUCAGAGAUAAAUGUUUGAUGCCAAGGUCAUUCUCCUCCAGCUAUCCAUAUCUCUCAUUCUGCGGUCACUCAUUACUGCUAUAUUGUACACAUCUCGCUCACAUUCUCCACUCCUAAUACCUCUUGAUUUAAUAAGAUGAAACACUAAUUUCAGCUACCAGAGGAUGGGAGUGACCAACUACGACCUUGCUUUAUUGCAAAAUGAUUUGCUUAAUUAGGAAAUAUCUUAAACCUGACAGAGAGAGCAUCCAGAUUAAACUCGUCAGUGUUUGUUUGGAUUCAAGACUGAUUAAAUAUUUUUCCCCAUAAAACUCUUUUUAAUUAAAAGGUUCUUAUCAAUCUGAAUAACCUGCAUAAUUGGCUGAAUUAUUUUGGGUAAGUGUUAAAGUCACACCGACAGCAUAUAAACCACAACAAUACAGCAGCUAAAAAAAAGAAUAGUGUUUACGUUUAUUUAGGCUCUAAAAAUAUGUAUUCCUAACUCAACCCAACUCUGCAACAAGACGUAGUGAAUAAAAGGCAACUAUGAUGGCCAGUUGUGUUCAACAUAAGACAAUAAACCAUAGUAUAAAAUAAAAAUUCUUUCUGAACAUUUGAAGAUUACACACAGCUGAGACAACUAAUUUCAUGCAACUUCUAUUUUCUCAUAAACCUGUGCUUGCUAAGUCAAAUCAUGCUUGUCUUCAAGCUUUGUGCAUCUGUCAAGUAAGAAAACAGGACACUAACUUUCCAAGAAGAAAGGGGGCACUACGCCGACCAGCGUGUGCAACAAAAGAAAAACAAUCUCCAGUAAUUGCCUGCCAUCUAACAGAACUGGGAUUCAAAAUGCAGGAUAGAUGGAGGGUAUGGCAGCGCAUAUUGCAAACUAGUCAAGGACGUUAGAACCAUCCAUCUUCCAAUCUCAGAGCAAAUCAAAAAGGAGAAGCAGGGCUGCUGGUUGUGGUGGUGGUAGUGAUGAGGUGUGCCCAGUCAAGUCAGAUCAUUAGAGCUGGACAUGUCACGCAAUAAACAAUGUGGAGUUCGAAGACUAGGCUGCCUCUGACCUUUUGAAGGUAAAAAGUGGGGCAGUGCGCACCGGCAGAGUGGCGCAGAAGUGUAUUGAUUUCAGACAGUUUAUCUGUAUCACAGGCAGCAGCCCACACAGACUGCGUGAACACUUUCACCCAUCAGGAUUAGGUCUGUAAAGCCAAGCUGACAGAGACAAGACUAGCUGGAUGUAAACAUGGACACACAGAUCUGAUACAUCCAUCUAUAUGUAGGUGGAUUAAAGCAAGUCACCAGUGCUUCGGUGUAAGAUAACUAAUGAUGAACAAAUAUAUACUAAAGUCUGUUUAGGUGUCCACAGCCAUCUUCUGUUUGCUGAAGAGGUGUAUUUUUAUGCAACACAUUUAACCAUUAACAACACUACUGUAUACCUUAGAGCAAUGUGAUUUCCCAAUGUGUACUACAUAUCUGGUCUAAAGCCCGACAAAUAUGAUUUUAUUAAGUCCGAUGCAGAUUUCGAUAUUUGAGGAUUUUAAAAUCCGAUAUGGCGAUAUAUCGGCCAAUAUUCUCGUUCCCCCUUAUUUUAAGAAACGCAUAACAUAAACAAAGAUUAUCCCUAAUAUUUGUUAUGUUGAGACCAUACCAAGAUACCAUGACAUAAUGCAGUAUAACAAGAAAAUUUUUAUUGUUAGGAGGAAUAGGAGAAUAGGAGAAGUAAUGAGGGCUAUUUUUAUUAUUAUUUAAGUUAUGUAAUUGAUGUGACAAAUGACUAACUCACUGGGAACAUUGAGUGUGAGAGCUACCAGGAGCUACUCAACGUGGUUCCGGAAGACUGCGGUCAGCUGAGGUUUUGUUCUGUGGUGCUGCAGUGUUGUUAACAGAGGAGCUGCAGAGCGCCCUCUGGUGGGCAAACUAUGCAACACUCAUGACAUAAGGGAAGGAUCCGACUCUCUUUCAGAGGAUCUACGACUCAAGAAUUGUUGAUUUACAUAAAGCUGGCAAAGGUUACAAAGCGAUUACAAGGACUUUAGAAAUUCACCAGUCUACAGUUAGGCAAACAUUCUACAAAUGGAGACACUUUGAGACUGUUGCUACUCUACCAAGAAGUGGGCUCCCAGUCUAAAUGACACCAAGAGCACAGCGAAGACUCAUCGAUGAGGUAAAGAAACAAGCUCGAAUGACAGCCAAAGAUUUGUAAGCAUCAUUGGAAUUGGCUAACAUCUCUGUUCAUGAGUCUACAAUAUGUAAAACAUUGAACAAGCAGGGCAUCUACGGCAGGACACCAUGAAGGAAGCCACUGCUUACUAAAAAGAACAUUGCUGCACGCCUGAAGUUUGCGAAAGACAUUGACACUCUACAGCGGUAUUGGCAAGUUUGGCAUGUUUUGUGGACUGAUGAAACUAAGAUUGAACUAUCUGGACGAACCACACAGCAUUAGAUGUGGUGUACAAAGGGCACGGCAUAUCAUCAUGAAAACAUCAUCCCAACCGUAAAGUAUGGCGGAGGAAGCAUCAUGAUUUGGGCCUGCUUUGCUGCAUCAGGGCCUGGCCAGCUUGCAAUCACUGAAGGGAAAAUUAUUUCCCAAGUACAUCAGACAAUUCUUCAGGACAAUGCGGGAAUGUCUGUACGUCAGCUGAAACUGUGUAGAAGUUGGGUAAUGCAACAGGACAAUGACCCAAAACACCGGAGCAAGUCCAUAACAGAAUGGCUUCAGAAAAACAAAAUCCGCCUUUUGAAGUCAGAGACCAGACCUCAACCCAAUACAGAUGCUAUGGAAUGAUUCGAAGAGAGCCAUACGCAUGAGACGUCCAAAG